rnacentral:lncRNA from 1 species
GAGUGAAGUAUAAUGAUCACACUGGGAGGCCUUAACAUUAGCAUGGUUCAGUACUUUUUAAAAUCGGGGCCUAUCUUGAGUAGAGAAGGAGGCUUUUCGCACUUUCUCGGCCGCAGCUGCCAGGUCAGGAGCUGUCAGCUGCAAGGGCUCCCUGACUUAGACCUAACGCUUGCCUGCCCCAGCCCUCCAGAUCCAGCCACUGCCACCCCGCCACGCACCACAGGGAAAGGAAACCCUGCUCCAGCAAUGGCACAUUGUCAGAAGAAGAAACUGAUGUCCAGAGAAGGGAACUUGCCUUAGGCUACAAAGCAGAAACAAGAACCCAGGUCUCCAACCACCAGGCCAGCAUCAAUCUUCUUCAUCCUGCAUCCAGCUAAGACCCUGCAGCCCAAUUUCAAACUACUACUUGGUACACUUAUGGGGCCAUGGUCUAAAUCAGGAGCUGUGGCGGAAACCUGUCGGGUGGUGUGUCCAGCAACUCACCCCUAUUCCACCCCCAGCCUUUGUGGGAACCGCUCUCCCUUCUCUUCUUCCUACCCAUCCCCCACCGUGGCUGUCGAUGGCCAUGUUCCUAGGAUAUGAAUC